UACGUAGGGGGCAAGCGUUGUCCGGAAUUAUUGGGCGUAAAGCGCGCGCAGGCGGUUUAUUAAGUCUGAUGUGAAAGCCCACGGCUCAACCGUGGAGGGUCAUUGGAAACUGGGGGACUUGAGUACAGAAGAGAAGAGUGGAAUUCCACGUGUAGCGGUGAAAUGCGUAGAGAUGUGGAGGAACACCAGUGGCGAAGGCGACUCUUUGGUCUGUAACUGACGCUGAGGCGCGAAAGCGUGGGGAGCAAACAGG
rnacentral:rRNA from 1 species